rnacentral:piRNA from 1 species
UGGCCAGGGCCAGAUGCUGUUCUUCACACU